rnacentral:snRNA from 1 species
GUCCUCACUUCAGCAGCACAUAUCCUAAAAUUGGAACGAUACAGAGAUUAGCAUGGCCCCUGCGCAAGGAUGACACACAAAUUCGUGAAGUGUUCCAUAUUUUU